AGUGCAGUAGCCUAUUUGAUAUAAAUUUCACUCGGUCUACAUUUUCAUAUCUGAAGUUUGGCAAACUUAUUUUGCUUGUUUGGACUCAUAUUUUAAGUUUUCAAAAUAUUAUGAUUGCCCUGUAUUUACACUGUUAGAAGUAACCACAGGUCACCAUUUAGCAGUGUAUUUUAUAAAAAAAAUAAAAAUAAUCAUAAUUCUUGCCUGAGGCAGACAUUUUCAGUGUUUUUCCAAAUUGGUCAUUUGUCAUCCCCGAUGAACGCUGCGGCCGUCGCGCAGUGGCAAUGUCUAAUUUGCGCCACCAGGGGGCGCCCUCGUCCAGGUUGCGCCACCGCACGUUUCUUAGCGCUCGGCACGUCGCCGCCCAUCUGCAGUCUGCACAUCAUUUGCUCCAAGGAACUCGUCGGCGUCUGACCUGAGACCAUGGGCACCACAGAUCAUCCGGUACUCCGAUACCAAAGACAGACGCGCCUCCUCCAGCCGUCUAGCAAAGUCGCUCAUUUAUUAAAGCAAAGCGAGGCCGA